UCUCCUUUCUAAGGAUGAUCCUUCAGCGAGCUCACGCUCACUAUCGGAUCGUUUUAGAAACAUCAGUGGCCAACAGAUCGCCAGAUCGUUGAGCUGCAUUGGCGGGAUUUCGCCGUCUUCGUUUCUCUUUCUUCGCGGACGAACACGCGCUGGGCCUGCAACGGCAGGAUCCAGGGUCCUUAACGGGAUGUGCGUUAGGGGCUUGUAGCUCAGUUGGUUAGAGCGCGCGCUUGAUAAGCGUGAGGUCGGAAGUUCAAGUCUUCCCAGGCCCACCACUUUCAUCGAGUGUGCAUUCGUCUUCUGGUUACGGGGCCAUAGCUCAGCUGGGAGAGCGCGUGCUUUGCAAGCAUGAGGUCGUCGGUUCGAUCCCGUCUGGCUCCACCAGAUGGUUUGAUCACCGAGAUCUUGUACCGUCGUCCGCGAAACAUCACUUCGCAUCCUGCUAGUCUGGAUAGACAGCAAGAUGCGUGUUUUCUGACAUCGUAAAGAGGAGAUCGAUCCGAGUUGGGUCGUGUAGCAGAUUGCUGCGCGAGCCUUCAUUAUCUCCGGAUCAUUUUCGGCGCUCGCGUCCGACCGCAAGGUUGGUUGCGAGUUGUAAAAUGAUCCUUUUAGCGAAGCUUGACCGCCUCGCUAUCGGAACGAUCUUACGAAGCAAGCUGGUCUUUCUAGUCAAUGUCCGGCUGUACGUAGCGUUCAUCGAGGGCGCGCGCCGCAAGGCAAUCGUACAGACAACAUUCUGCCGAGUGGGUGGACAUUGAUAAUGAGAGCAAUCAAGUGCCUUAAGGGUGUUCGGUGGAUGCCUUGGCGCUGAGAGGCGAUGAAGGACGUGCUACGCUGCGAUAAGCCGUGGGGGAGCUGCGAAGAAGCUUUGAUCCGCGGAUUUCCGAUGGGGGAAAAC
rnacentral:misc_RNA from 1 species